GUUUUGGAGGUUGGGGAUUCCAAGAUCAAGAUGCCAGCAGAUACGGUGUGUGAGAGCCUACUUCCUGGUUUAUAGAUGGCCAUCUUUUCACUGUGCUCUUUCUGCGUGAUGGAAGAGGUAGCUACUAUCCAACUUAUCCAAGUUUAAGCCAUAAGAAAAUGCAUGGACUUCUCUACCUGAGAAGAAACUGGAAAGAAAAAAAAAUAACACAGAAUCCAAGCAUGAGCUGAAGAAACUGGAGCCCCAGGAACUGAAGGGACUUCAGACUGCAGCUAGGCCGUCGUGGACAAGCUGACUUCGAAUCAAAACUAAACCACACUAAACUAAAAUUACACAAAGCAUGAGAUUGAGAUAAGGGGAUGACAAGUAUCCAGCUGCAAUCUGCUAAAUAACAUGAUGAUAAAUAUGGGCUCUAUCGCUCCAAUAACAAUGCUGCAGACUUACCAGAUCAGAAGCUUUUUGGAUCCAUCUGAAUAAGAGGAGUACCUGAUAGACUUUUCACCUAUGGAAGGCUGACAGCAAGGAGAGAAAGCAGAAACUUCCUUUGUCUUUAUCAUAAUGCUGGUGAGGAGGAAGAGGGGAAGAAUCAAGAGUGCUUCAACCUUUGCAUGGAAAUCACAUAUGUAACAUGAAAGUAUUUCUCUGCUAAUGAUUAUCUAUUAAUUUGGGGGAGAGUUAGGAGGACUAUAUGUUUUGAAUCCCCAAUAACUGCCAGGCAUAAUAGCAGGCAUUUUGCCUAACGAAAAAGAACUAACAUUUGCUAAAUGUCUCUAGAUACUAGAAACCAGGCUCCUUUCUAUAUAUACAUUUCAUUGAAUCCACUAAUCCUCAGAAUGUGAAACCUUCUUUUUGGCAAGUGAAGAAAUAAUUUCCAAAGGUUUGCAGACAAAGCGAGUAAGUAGAAGAGGCAGGGAUUAAACAGGUCUGAACAAUCACCACAUUUUACUCUUUCAAAAAUACCAAGUUAGUACAACCAGGAAAGUAAAAAUCCUAUUAACAACUAGGGGAUCAUCGAUACAGCACUUCUUAGAGUUAUUAUAUUAUUAACAUUUUUUUCAAAUGCAGUUUCUAUAUUGAAGGGAAUGUAAUAUGCAAAUAUUUUAAAGGGUCUUACAGGUAAUUAAAAAUAUCAAAGACAUUAAAAAGCAUCCCAGGUAUUUUUGUUUUCAUUCCAAAAUUUUCCAACAAACCUUUUUUUUUUCUUUUUUAAGCCUAAGGUAAAUUUCAGAACAACCAUUAUCAACAUUAUUUAAAUCUCUUAAUAGAUGGAGACUAAAGUAUUAAAGUUGCAUCACUAUGGAUGAAGAGCUUCAUUCUCUUAGAAUGGUUGUCUUGUCAAUUCUCUGAAUUUAUUUCAUAAUUGCUGAUACACAUCUUCUUACAUAAUCCUGUCACUUAAGAGAAUGGCUGGAGGCCUACCCAUUUCUCAUCCAGGUUUUUUCAAAUCUCUCCUCUCUCAUCUGAUCUCAUAGUUUCUCUGCUGUUUUUGUCUGGUGACCAUCCUCACUAAAUACAUUAGGUUCUAGACUUUUUUUUUUUUUUUUUAAUAUCAAAGCCAUUUCUCCUGGUAUGUUCUAAGCAUAUUGAGGGAAAGGACAAAAUGUUAUCAUUUUUUUCUGUUAUUUACAAUACCCAUUAACAGGCAGAUACCAAAAGAGAUACAUGACAGUCAAGAACUAUGGAUUAGAUUUAAGAUCAAAUGUAUAGGUUUGUGAUCAAAUCCUUUUGUGUCACUUACUUAGCUGUGCAAACUUAGGCAAAUUAAUUAACUCUCAUUUAUAAAAUGGAAACCCAAAAGCUUUACAGGUUUUUUCAUGAAACUUUAUAAAGUUGUCUCACAGCCCUUAUUUUCAAAGAAUAGCCAGCGGUUAUUGGAAAUAUACCAAUAGUGUACAUUGAAUAAGUUACUUAGCCUUGUUAAGGCAUAGUUUUCUUGUCCACAAAAUGAAUAUGAAAAUAAUUGUUAUCUCACAGGACUAUAAUGGCUAUUGAAUAAGGUGAUAUAACUACAUUUCUUAGCAGAGUGUUUCCAUAAACGUUCAACUAUUUCAACAGUUUGACCACGUGCCCCAAAAUGACACCUGACAUUCCGUCUUCUUAAAUCCAGUCUACUUCCUCAGUCCCUGCGUGCUUUGCUUAUCCUGGAAGAAGUCUAGAACUUCAAGUAGAAGAGAAGAGGACAGAAGUUGUCUGCUAGAACAAGAACAAAUGGCUAAACUAGAAUGGAGGAUGAAGGGUCCGAGAGUUGAAUAACUGCCCUUAUAUUGUUAAGUGAUAAGAGAUACUCAUGUGAAAUCAUAUUGUCAAACAGGAAACAAAUAAUAAAAGGAAUGUUAUGAGUCUUUUGAAAUGCGGCAAAAGGAGCGAUGGUUAAAAUUUUAACAAGUGAGAGUCAUUAGUUAAACAAAUCCUGACAGCUUCACAGUCACAGACACCUAACAAAGGCUUGAUUUGUGAGACACCCUUAAUAGUCCCUUUGCAUUUCCCUCAAACAUUCCGUUUUGUUCCUCUACUGUGGACCCUAAAGUGUCAUUCCCUAUUUCUCUCUGCUAACCAUAUAUGUUUAAAAAGUAUAGCUAACGUUUCCCUUCAUCAAUGAUCAGAAGAGAGAUUCUCUCCUGCAUCUUGCUGUAUUGAUCCUCUUUAAAAGGAGGGACAUUGCUGACAAAAAUGAAUCAAUUGAUGCCUUUAAGCUUUCAGAAUGAAGACUUCCUUUCUUAGGUUUUGCCAUUUUCUCUCAAAUGAUAAAACAGCAGUUGGUUCUCUUUGCCCCACUCUAAAUAAGACUAAAAGGUUAUGGAUUAUGCCAUACAUAAUUUAUAGUACUUAAGACAAAGGCGACCUGAUAGAAAUACACUUUAAUGAACACCUACCAAAUGCGAGGCUAUAUGGUAUUUAAUUUACAUGUAAUUCUCUUGUAAUUCUCAUAACGGUAUAAUGGGGUAGGAAAUAUUAACCUUAUUUUG